AUGCAUAUGGUUGAUAAGAUGCCACCCCUCGCAGCAGCCGCGUCCUCGUCGCGGUGCGCCCCCUUCGCCUGCCGCCCCCGCGGCGCCGAGCAGCGCCAGCGCUCCAGGGGCCUGGAUCACGCGUCAGCACCGGUGCCUGCCGCCGGGCUGGGCCGCGCGGCGGGGGUCGUGGGCGGCGGCAUCGCCGCGGCCUUCUUCGCGUCCCUGGAGCGGUGCGCCUGCGUGGAGGUCCGCACGACCGACGACCUCUCCGACUGCAGCAACAGCGCCAUGGAGGCCGCGCCGCUCAUGGGCGACGGCGGCGGUUCCGGCUGUUCUUGCACUCAUUCUUCCACACCGAGGAAGAAGAGCAAGAGGAAGGCCGGCGCGGGGAAGGGCCCGAGGGGCGGCCAUGGCGGCUUUGGGUGCUGCGAGAGCAUCAAUUAG
rnacentral:rRNA from 1 species